ensembl:snRNA U6 U6 spliceosomal RNA
GUGCUCACUUCGGCAGCACAUAUCCUAAAAUUGGAACGAUUCAGAGAAGAUUAGCAUGGCCCCUGUGCAAAAUGACAUAAUUCGUGAAGCGUUCCAUAUUUCU